ensembl:rRNA 5S_rRNA 5S ribosomal RNA
CCUUACGGCCACACCGGCCUGAGUACGCCUGAUCUCGUCCGAUCUCGGAAGCUAAGCAGGGUCGGGCCUGGUUAGUACUUGGAUGGGAGACCGCCUGGGAAUACCAGGUGCUGUAAGCU